rnacentral:misc_RNA from 1 species
UUGAAUUUUAAUGAAGAGUUUGGUUGUAGCUGGCCCAUUCAUUUGGGCAUGUGCACACCUUCCUCUUUCAUCCCACACACACCUGUGAACCUGUGAGACAGAGAUGGGGAAUUUACCUGCUGCUUUUUGGAAUACAAAGGCAAUAGGUUAUUGGACCCCCCCUCUGUCUACUCAAUUAAUAUAAACUCAAUUUAUUUUAAAACGAAUGUAAUGGAUGUAACACAUCUCAUAC